CCUGAGGGGGAGAGAAGAGAAGAGAUUAUCCUCAUCCGCUCUGGUCCUCGGAGGUGGAGAGAGAACACACAACAAGCAAGAGGAGGACACUAGAGAGGAGUAGAGGGGACUCCAAGGAGAGCCAGCAGAUGCGGGAGACCACCGCGGACACCAUAUUAUCUACGGAUUUUCUUUAGGACACAUCUUCAGGGUCAGACGAGGGACAUAUCUCCCACCCUCCCUCAAUUUCAUUUCAAUUCUGACAGAUAGGACCGAACAACUCCCUCGCCAAGAUGGGCAACCGAGGCAUGGAAGAUCUGAUCCCUCUGGUGAACAAAAUGCAGGAUGCCUUCGCUGCAAUCGGCCAAAACUCGAACUUAGACUUGCCUCAGAUCGCCGUUGUGGGCGGCCAGAGUGCGGGGAAAAGCUCCGUGUUGGAGAACUUCGUGGGGAAGGACUUCCUCCCCCGUGGCUCUGGCAUCGUGACCCGUCGACCUCUGGUGCUCCAACUGAUCAACUGUCCCACCGAGUAUGCCGAGUUCCUCCACUGUAAGGGGAAGAAGUUCGUUGACUUUGAUGAGGUACGAGGGGAGAUCGAGGCGGAGACGGACCGCAUCACCGGAGCGAAUAAAGGCAUCUCCCCCGUCCCCAUUAACCUACGAGUGUACUCCCCCCAUGUGCUGAACCUGACCCUGGUAGACCUACCGGGGAUGACCAAGGUGCCGGUGGGGGACCAGCCCGUGGACAUCGAGGCCCAGAUCAAGGAGAUGUUGAUGCAGUUCGUCACCAAGGACAACUGCCUGCUGCUGGCCGUCUCGCCGGCCAACUCUGACCUGGCCAACUCUGACGCGCUGAAGAUCGCCAAAGAGGUGGACCCCCAAGGUCAGAGAACCAUUGGUGUCAUCACUAAGCUGGACCUGAUGGAUGAAGGGACGGAUGCCAAAGACAUCCUGGAGAACAAACUGCUUCCGCUGAGGAGGGGGUACAUCGGGGUGGUAAACAGAAGUCAGAAGGACAUCGAUGGGAAGAAGGACAUCAACGCGGCCAUGGCGGCCGAAAGGAAGUUCUUCAUGUCCCAUCCCGGGUACCGGCAUCUGGCCGAACGCAUGGGCACCCCGUACCUCCAGAAGACCCUCAACCAGCAACUGACCAAUCACAUCCGCGACACGCUGCCCGGGUUGAGGGCCAAGCUGCAGAGCCAGCUGCUCUCCAUAGAAAAGGAGGUAGAAGAGUACAAGAACUUCAGGCCUGACGACCCCUCACGCAAGACCAAGGCCCUGCUACAGAUGGUGCAGCAGUUCUCGGUGGACUUUGAGAAGCGCAUCGAGGGGUCCGGGGACCAGAUCGACACGGCGGAGCUGUCAGGGGGCGCGCGCAUCAACCGCAUCUUCCACGAGCGCUUCCCCUUCGAGCUGGUCAAGAUGGAGUUUGACGAGAAGGAGCUCCGCAAGGAGAUCAGCUACGCCAUCAAGAACAUCCACGGCAUCAGGACGGGCCUCUUCACUCCGGACAUGGCCUUUGAGACCAUAGUGAAGCGCCAGAUUGGGAAGAUUAAGGAGCCCUGUACCAAAUGUGUGGACAUGGUCAUAUCUGAGCUAGUCAAUACGGUUAGGCAGUGUACCAAGAAGCUGGCCCAGUACCCCCUGCUGAGGGAGGAGAUGGAGAGGAUCGUCACACAACACAUUAGGGAUCGGGAGAGUCGCACCAAGACCCAGGUUUUGCUGCUGAUAGACAUCGAGUUGUCCUACAUGAACACCAACCACGAGGACUUCAUCGGAUUCGCCAAUGCUCAGCAGAGGAGUAACAAGCAGAACCAGAAGAAGGCUGCUGGUAACCAGGAUGAAGUCAUGCCGGAGAGAGGAGUUAACGAACGGUUCAAGGUGAUCAGGAAGGGCUGGCUGACCAUCAACAACAUCGGUAUCAUGAAGGGAGGAGCCAAGGAGUACUGGUUCGUCCUCACCGCCGAGUCGCUCUCCUGGUACAAAGAUGAUGAGGAGAAGGAGAAGAAAUACAUGCUGCAGGUUGACAACCUCAGGCUGAGAGAUAUUGAGAAGGGAUUCAUGUCCAGCAAGCAGAUCUUUGCCCUCUUCAACACCGAACAGAGGAACGUCUAUAAGGACUACCGUCAGCUGGAGCUGGCCUGUGAGAACCAGGAGGAUAUCGACGGCUGGAAGGCGUCCUUCCUGCGGGCCGGGGUCUACCCCGAACGUGUCACCGACAAGGAGGGCAAGAGCGAGGGUGGGGAGGAGAACGGCUCCGACAGCUUCAUGCACAGCGACCCCCAGCUGGAGCGGCAGGUGGAGACCAUCCGCAACCUGGUGGACUCCUACAUGGCCAUCGUCAACAAGACGGUCCGCGACCUUAUGCCCAAGACCAUCAUGCACCUCAUGAUCAACAACACCAAGGAGUACAUCAACGCCGACCUGCUGGCCGAGCUGUACUCGUGCGGGGACCAGAGCUCCCUGAUGGAGGAGUCCCAGGAGCAGGCUCAGCACCGCGACGAGAUGCUGCGCAUGUACCACGCCCUGCGCGAGGCGCUGGGCAUCAUCGGGGACAUCAGCACCACCACCAUCACCACCGCCAUGCCCCCGCCCGUCGACGACUCCUGGCUGCAGGUGCAGCGCGCCGGCGGCGGCUCCGGCGGCAGGUCUCCCGCCACCAGUCCCACCCCCAACCGCAGGGCCCCUCCGGGCCCCCCGGGACGUCCGCUGUCUCGGGGUCCCCCACCUGGCCCUCCCCCCGCCGGGGGACCCCCCGUCCCCUCCCGCCCGGGGGCCUCACCCGAUACCUACAGCGGGCCCCCGCCCACCGUGCCCUCUCGGCCCAACCGCGCACCCCCCAGUGUGCCUAGUCCCAGCUGAAGUGUGCAUGCCCUCUUGUUGCGAAGGGGGAUGUGAUGGGACCAGGAUGAGGGGGUGAAUGAGUGGUUACGGGGGUGAGUGAGACGCAAAAAACAGACCAACCCUAAACAAUAUUAUAGUCGCCUGUGUUUACUUCUAUCCAUUGUCUCUCCCACAUAUUGUUUUAGAAACCGCGUAUUUACCCCUCCCUUCCCAAGUUCCUCUACAUUUGGUUUUUUAUUUUUGUUGUAAUAAUAAUGACUGCACUUGGUGGUGGUAACUUUGUUGUGAACGUGAAACUAAUGCACCAGCCACAGAACUGUUUUCUUGCUACGCGUGUACCCUUGAUUGAUGUCCUACUGCUACAGCCCGUUUCAGAGUCGCACUCUCCAGCCCCCAGCCCUCCACUAACAUCCCCCUCCCCCUCCUGAACAUCAUCCCCGUCACUGCUGCAACACCCACAAGUACAUUGUAGUUCUUUACUGGCAUACCAUGGACCACAUAUCUGUGUAUUUAUUUACUGUAAUAAUGUAUGUAUUUAUGUAUGUGUGUGUUGCAUUUUUGGAUUUGUGCUUCCACUGUCUAGAGACGUUAGUUAAUCAUGCAUUAAAAUGACUGAAGAUUAAAUUAUUAGCCAACAUUUGCGCGUUUGUGUAUAAAGAAUCAAUAUGAAGAUAAUACAAAGUAAAAUCCAAUUAUGAUGAAUUGUAUGUGUGAGUCGACAGGGAUAUUUGAAAUGUAGGAAAAUAGGCGUUUAUUUUUUGUCCCUCUGUGCGUGAUGAAGCGGCGAGAGUGAAGGGGGGUUGAGCUUUGUAUCUUGGCAACAAGGCGUGUAUGUGUGUGUGUGUAUAUUCAGUUCAGAGUAAUAUCCUUACUCUUCAGGACCGCUGUGCUUUGUCUAAAAUAUAAAAAUAAAUCUGUUUAAGCGA